GUAGGGAAUAUUGCGCAAUGGGCGAAAGCCUGACGCAGCCAUGCCGCGUGAAUGAUGAAGGUCUUAGGAUUGUAAAAUUCUUUCACCGGGGACGAUAAUGACGGUACCCGGAGAAGAAGCUCCGGCUAACUUCGUGCCAGCAGCCGCGGUAAUACGAAGGGGGCUAGCGUUGCUCGGAAUUACUGGGCGUAAAGGGCGCGUAGGCGGACAGCUUAGUCAGAGGUGAAAGCCCAGGGCUCAACCUUGGAAUUGCCUUUGAUACUGGCUGUCUUGAGUUUGGGAGAGGUGAGUGGAACUCCGAGUGUAGAGGUGAAAUUCGUAGAUAUUCGGAAGAACACCAGUGGCGAAGGCGACUCACUGGCCCAAUACUGACGCUGAGGCGCGAAAGCGUGGGGAGCAAACAGGAUUAGAUACCCCUGUAGUCC
rnacentral:rRNA from 1 species